GUGCCAGCAGCCGCGGUAAUACGUAGGGAGCGAGCGUUAUCCGGAUUUAUUGGGUGUAAAGGGUGCGUAGACGGGAAAUUAAGUUGGUUGUGAAAUCCCUCGGCUUAACUGAGGAACUGCAACCAAAACUGGUUUUCUUGAGUGCAGGAGAGGAAAGCGGAAUUCCUAGUGUAGCGGUGAAAUGCGUAGAUAUUAGGAGGAACACCAGUGGCGAAGGCGGCUUUCUGGACUGUAACUGACGUUGAGGCACGAAAGUGUGGGGAGCAAACAGGAUUAGAUACCCUGGUAGUCCACACUGUAAACGAUGGAUACUAGGUGUAGGAGGUAUUAAUCCUUCUGUGCCGUCGCUAACGCAGUAAGUAUCCCACCUGGGGAGUACGACCGCAAGGUUGAAACUCAAAGGAAUUGACGGGGGCCCGCACAAGCAGUGGAGUAUGUGGUUUAAUUCGAAGCAACGCGAAGAACCUUACCAGGGCUUGACAUAAACAGGAAUAUGCUAGAGAUAGCAUAGCUCUUCGGAGUCUGUUUACAGGUGGUGCAUGGUUGUCGUCAGCUCGUGUCGUGAGAUGUUGGGUUAAGUCCCGCAACGAGCGCAACCCCUGUUUCUAGUUGCCAGCACGUUAAGGUGGGAACUCUAGAGAGACUGCCGGUGAUAAAUCGGAGGAAGGUGGGGACGACGUCAAGUCAUCAUGCCCUUUAUGUCCUGGGCUACACACGUACUACAAUGGCUAUAACAAAGGGAAGCAAAGCAGCGAUGCUAAGCAAAACCGUAAAAAGUAGUCUCAGUUCGGAUUGAAGGCUGAAAUUCGCCUUCAUGAAGCCGGAAUUGCUAGUAAUGGCAGGUCAGCAUACUGCCGUGAAUACGUUCCCGGGCCUUGUACACACCGCCCGU
rnacentral:rRNA from 1 species